CUCCGUGCCAGCAGCCGCGGUAAUACGGAGGGUGCAAGCGUUAUCCGGAUUCAUUGGGUUUAAAGGGUGCGUAGGCGGGAUUAUUAAGUCAGGGGUGAAAGUUUGCGGCUCAACCGUAAAAUUGCCUUGAUACUGGUAAUCUUGAGUACAUUUGAGGUAGGCGGAAUGUGAUGUGUAGCGGUGAAAUGCUUAGAUAUAUCACAGAACACCGAUUGCGAAGGCAGCUUACUAAACUGUAACUGACGCUGAGGUACGAAAGCGUGGGUAUCGAACAGGAUUAGAUACCCUGGUAGUCCACGCCGUAAACGAUGAUUACUAGUUGUUUGCAAUACAUGGUAAGCGACAAAGCGAAAGCAUUAAGUAAUCCACCUGGGGAGUACGUUGGCAACAAUGAAACUCAAAGGAAUUGACGGGGGCCCGCACAAGCGGAGGAACAUGUGGUUUAAUUCGAUGAUACGCGAGGAACCUUACCUGGACUUAAAUGGGGAGUGACAGGCUUAGAGAUAGGCUUUUCUUCGGACACUCUUCAAGGUGCUGCAUGGUUGUCGUCAGCUCGUGCCGUGAGGUGUCGGGUUAAGUCCCAUAACGAGCGCAACCCACGUCUUUAGUUACCAGCACGUAAUGGUGGGCACUCUAGAGAGACUGCCGGUGUAAACCGCGAGGAAGGUGUGGAUGACGUCAAAUCAGCACGGCCCUUACGUCCAGGGCUACACACGUGUUACAAUGGCCGGUACAGAGGGCAGCUACUGGGUGACUAGAUGCGAAUCUCCAAAACCGGUCUCAGUUCGGAUCGAAGUCUGCAACCCGACUUCGUGAAGCUGGAUUCGCUAGUAAUCGCAUAUCAGCCAUGAUGCGGUGAAUACGUUCCCGGGCCUUGUACACACCGCCCGUCAAACCAUGGAAGCCGGGGGUACCUGAAGUCUGUAACCGUAAGGAGCGGCCUAGGGUAAAUCUGGUAACUAGGGUU
rnacentral:rRNA from 1 species